UUUAAGGUCUAGCCUGCCCAAUGAGAUUUUGAAUGGCCGCGGUAUUUUAACCGUGCAAAGGUAGCAUAAUCAUUAGUUUUUUAAUUAAAAGCUGGUAUGAAUGGUUGAAUGAAAAAAUAACUGUCUCUAUUUAAAUUUUUUAGAAUUUUAUUUUUAAGUAAAAAAGCUUAAAUUAUAUUAGAAGACGAGAAGACCCUGUAGAGUUUAAUUAAUUAUUAUGAUAGGAUUUUUAGUAUUCUUAUUUUUAUUAUUUAUAAUUAAUUUAGUUGGGGUGAUUUAAAAAUUUAAUAAACUUUUUUUAUAUUUAUACAUUAAUUUAUGAUUGCUUGAUCCUUAUUUUAAGAUUAAAAGAUAAAAUUACCUUAGGGAUAACAGCGUAAUUUUUUUAGAGAGUUCUAAUCGAAAAAAAAGAUUGCGACCUCGAUGUUGGAUUAAAAUAAAAAUUUGGUGUAGAAGCUAAAGUAUUUAGGUCUGUUCGACCUUUAAAAUUUUACAUGAUCUGAGUUUAAACCGGCGUAAGCCAGGUUGGUUUCUAUCUCUAUUUUAAAUAAAUAUUUUAGUACGAAAGGACCAAAUAUUAGGUUUAAAAUUUUAUAUUUGAAUAUAAUU
rnacentral:rRNA from 1 species